GUGAUUUUCGUGGAUUGAUUGACAGCUUGAAUGGGUCUCGUCUGUGACCUCGACGUGGGCUGUCACCUCCCUCAGACCCAGUAGGCUUCUCUGCCUCAGGCCUCUGGGUGUCAGAAGAGUGAGGAGACCGCGGAGAAUGCUGAGCUCAGACCCUCCUCUGGCUGUUUGUUCCCCAGCUGGUUCCGGGCUCGGGUGUCACAUGCAGCUGGACCUGGCGAAAACAGUGACGUCCACCUUUGACCAGCCCACGCCACGUGCCGUGCUUGUGCAGAGCGCUCCCGAUGGCCACAGCUUACUUGCUCAAAUCAACACACAAACCCGUUGACUGCAGUCCUGGAGCCCAGCUGUGCUGGAGCCAGGCGCUGGCAGGGCCGAGUCCCUUCCUCGCCGCUGCCAUCUUCUAGAGCCCGCCGCCUUCCGGCCCUGCCCCGCCUCCACAGGGCGUCCCGCCCGCCUCUGCGCCAUCUCCUCCUCUGGCUCUGACCCUCCGUGCCCCUCU